AGGAGCCCAGCGAGGGUGCCUACAAGAGGAGUCAAAGGGCAAAGGUCCUGGGGUACUUAGCACCGUGGCAUAUCUGUAAUAAGCACAUGCACACCUCGAAGGAGGUCUUCACUUCAACAUACAAGUUGACCAUGGCAUGCUCUGGGCUCCAGUCCUCUACAAAGAUGUAGGGCAGGAACUACCAGUUGUCAGCACAGCACCAUCCCACAUUGCUCUUCUAAUGGAGACUUUCACCCCAGAUGUUCUUUCUCGUCUGAUGGGAAGGAUCCAAAUGAAAAAAUUGAGGCUCAAAGAAGUCCACCAAAUUGAGAGUGAAGUAGGGGAAACAGCAUUUAACGCUUACAUUCUAAUGAUUUGUGUAAGAGCAGCAGGACAAGCUAUACAAAGAAAAAGGUGGAAUUAUCAGGAUGGAAUUAAAGAUGCUUCCAAAC
rnacentral:lncRNA from 10 species